UCAGUUCAGGGCUUCGGGGAAGAACUUUGAUGCAGUCUUACUUCCUUGCUUGUGCCUUCUCUUCAUUACAAAAAGCUUUUCAUGAAGCUUACAAGAAGGGACAUGAGCACCGGCACCCAUUUAGCAACAACCUGGAUGCUGGGAACCUUGACGUGAUGGGAUGUUGAUGGUCAUUCUUACUUUCAGCCUCUUUCUGCCCAAAUCCCUUGGAUUUCAAUGAAUGGAUAUUAACUGAAGUGAGAUGAGAUAUUAAAUACUUGUGUUUACCAGUGAA